rnacentral:lncRNA from 1 species
GCUGCCCCACGGACAGAUCGGACCCACACCUGCCCCCCUGCCCUGCCCCAUAGCCUGCCCCACGGCUGCCCCAUAGAUACCCCAGCCCCACAUCUGCCCCAUGGCUGCCCCACAGCUGCCCCACGGACAGAUCUGACCCACGGCCGGACCCACAGCCAGCCCCACAUCUGCUCCCCACCACCACCACCCUGCCCCAUAGACACCCCAGCCCCACAUCUGCCCCAUAGCCAGCCCCAUGGCUGCCCCAUAGAUACCCCAGCCCCACAGCUGCCCCAUAGCCAGCCCCAUGGCUGCCCCAUAGAUACCCCAGCCCCACAGCUGCCCCAUAGCCAGCCCCAUGGCUGCCCCAUAGAUACCCCAGCCCCACAUCUGCCCCAUAGCCAGCCCCACGGCUGCCCCAUAGAUACCCCAGCCCCACAUCUGCCCCAUAGCCAGCCCCAUGGCUGCCCCACGGCCAGGCCUGCCCCACAUCUCCCCCCCCCCCCCCCAGCCCCCCCCCCACCCGCCCCCCCCCCCACCACCACCCUGCCCCAUAUCCUGCCCCAUAACCUUGCAAUAAAGGCCUGGGUGCAACCACGUGGGGAGAUUUGGGGUUAAUUUAAGGGAUUUUGGGCAAUUUGAGGAAAGGGGAAAAUUGCGGAGGGGCUGGGGGCUCUGGGGAGGAAUUUUGGGGCUAAUUUAAGGGAUUUGGGGCAAUUGGGGAGGGGCAGGGUGAUUUGGGGCUAAACUGCGGGGUUUGGGGGUUCCGGGGGAGAUUUGGGGCUAAUUAUUAGGAUUUGGGGCAAUUUGGGGGAGGGAGCGAAU